rnacentral:rRNA from 1 species
UACGAAGGGGGCUAGCGUUGCUCGGAAUCACUGGGCGUAAAGCGCACGUAGGCGGAUCUUUAAGUCAGGGGUGAAAUCCCAAGGCUCAACCUUGGAACUGCCUUUGAUACUGGGGAUCUCGAGUCCGGAAGAGGUUGGUGGAACUGCGAGUGUAGAGGUGAAAUUCGUAGAUAUUCGCAAGAACACCGGUGGCGAAGGCGGCCAACUGGUCCGGUACUGACGCUGAGGUGCGAAAGCGUGGGGAGCAAACAGG